rnacentral:rRNA from 1 species
UUUAAAGAGAGUUUGAUCCUGGCUCAGGACGAACGCUGGCGGCGUGCCUAAUACAUGCAAGUCGAACGAACGGAGGAAGAGCUUGCUCUUCCAAAGUUAGUGGCGGACGGGUGAGUAACACGUGGGCAACCUGCCUGUAAGUUGGGGAUAACUCCGGGAAACCGGGGCUAAUACCGAAUGAUAAAGUGUGGCGCAUGCCAUGCUUUUGAAAGAUGGUUUCGGCUAUCGCUUACAGAUGGGCCCGCGGUGCAUUAGCUAGUUGGUAGGGUAAUGGCCUACCAAGGCAACGAUGCAUAGCCGACCUGAGAGGGUG